rnacentral:rRNA from 1 species
GACGAACGCUGGCGGCGUGCUUAACACAUGCAAGUCGAACGGAAAGGCCCUGCUUUUGUGGGGUGCUCGAGUGGCGAACGGGUGAGUAACACGUGAGUAACCUGCCCUUGACUUUGGGAUAACUUCAGGAAACUGGGGCUAAUACCGGAUAGGAGCUCCUGCUGCAUGGUGGGGGUUGGAAAGUUUCGGCGGUUGGGGAUGGACUCGCGGCUUAUCAGCUUGUUGGUGGAGUAGUGGCUUACCAAGGCUUUGACGGGUAGCCGGCCUGAGAGGGUGACCGGGCACAUUGGGACUGAGAGACGGACCAGAAUGCUACGGGCGGCAGCAGUGGGGAAUAUUGCACAGUGGGCGGAAGCGUGAUGCAGAAACCCCGCGUGCGUGAUGACGGCCUUCGGGGUGUAAACCGCUUUCGCAUGUGACGAAGCGUGAGUGACGGUAAUGGGUAAAGAAGCAACGGCUAACUACGUG